AUUGAACGCUGGCGGCAUGCUUUACACAUGCAAGUCGGACGGCAGCACAGAGAAGCUUGCUUCUUGGGUGGCGAGUGGCGAACGGGUGAGUAAUAUAUCGGAACGUACCGAGUAAUGGGGGAUAACUAAUCGAAAGAUUAGCUAAUACCGCAUAUUCUCUGAGGAGGAAAGCAGGGGACCUUCGGGCCUUGCGUUAUUCGAGCGGCCGAUAUCUGAUUAGCUAGUUGGUGGGGUAAAGGCCUACCACGGCGCCGAUCAGUAGCGGGUCUGAGAGGAUGAUCGGCCACACUGGGACGGAGAAAGGGCCCAGACUCUUACGGGAGGCAGCAGUGGGGAAUUUUGGAAAAGGGGGGCAAGCCUGAGCCAGACAGGCCGCGUGUCUGAAGAAGGCCUUCGGGUGGUAAAGGACUUUUGUCAGGAAAGAAAAGGCCGUUGCUAAUACCGACAGCUGAGGACGGAACCUGAAGAAUAAGCACCGGCUAACUACGU
rnacentral:rRNA from 1 species